rnacentral:rRNA from 1 species
GGGGGCGGGGUAUGGGCGGUACGCUUGAGCGCCAUCCAUUUUCAGGGCUAGUACAUUCGGCAGGUGAGUUGUUACACAGUCCUUAGCGGAUUCCGACUUCCAUGGCCACCGUCCUGCUGUCAAGAUGUACUAACGCCUUUUGUGGUGUCUGAUGAGCGUACACUCUGGCGCCUUAACCCCGCGUUCGGUUCAUCCCGCAUCGCCAGUUCUGCUUACCAAAAAUGGCCCACUAGUGUUGGUACAUUCGAAUGCCCACGUUCAACUAAGUAACAAGGGCUUCUUACAUAUUUAAAGUUUGAGAAUGGAUGAAGGCAAUAUAUAGCCCCCGAGUCCCUAAUCAUUCGCUUUACCUCAUAAAACUGAAGAUCAACACUGCUAUCCUGAGGGAAACUUCGGCGGUAACCAGCUACUAGACAGUUCGAUUAGUCUUUCGCCCCCAUGCUCAUAUUUGACGAUCGAUUUGCACGUCAGAACCGCUGCGAGCCUCCACCAGAGUUUCCUCUGGCUUCACCCUAUACAAGCAUAGUUCACUGUCUUUCGGGUCCGUCCGUUAAAACUCUUACUCAAAUCCUUCCGAGAACAUCAGGAUCGGUCGAUGAUGCGCCGAAGCUCUCACCUGCGUUCACUUUCAUUACGCGUGCGGGUUUUACACCCAAACGCUCGCUCUAAUGGACGACUCCUUGGUCCGUGUUUCAAGACGGGUCACUGAUGACCAUUACGCCAGCAUCCUUGCCGAAGCGCGGUCCUCGGUCCCCGCGAGGGUAUCGUCCGCCGGGCUAUAACACACCCCGGAGGGUGCUACGUUCCCGUCGGUCUUAUCCCCCCGCGAAAACCGAUGCUGGCCUGUGCCGGGCGGAGUGCACAGGGGAGAACCCCUGAUGAGCCGCCCGGCCCAAGUCUGGUCAUAAGUGCUUCCCUUUCAACAAUUUCACGUACUAUUUAACCCCCUUUUCAAGGUGCUUUUCAUCUUUCGAUCACUCUACUUGUGCGCUAUCGGUCUCUGGCCGGUAUUUAGCUUUAGAAGAGAUUUACCUCCCAUUUAGAGCAGCAUUCCCAAACUACUCGACUCGUCGAAGGAGCUUCACACAGGCUUGGUGUCCGACCAUACGGGGCUCUCACCCUCUGUGGCGUCCCGUUCCAGGGAACUCGGAAGGCACCGCGCCAGAAGCAUCCUCUGCAAAUUACAACUCGGGCCGAGGC